GAUAAAUUGAGAAAGUAAGAGAAAUGACGAAGAGGGCACCACUCUCUUCUCUAUGCAUCCUUGUGCUCCUAAUGCCUCUCGUGAUAUUCGUACAGCCAGAAACAAUCCCUUCUCAAACAAUAAAUCAUCGUAAAAUUGGGGUUACGAAAGGAGAGAGAGAAGGGAUGGAACAUUUGAUUCACCAAAGAAAAGUGAUUGCAAGGCCAAGCAGAUCACCAAGAGGACCAUCGAAAGGUCAUCCCCCGGGAAGACCCCUAAAGCUCCUUUAGCGCUUCACAAUCAUAUUAUAUAUAUAUAUAUAUGAAUAAUUAUUUUUUUGUUAAAUAUAUGAAUAAUUAUGAUUAGAUCGUACCAUUGUAUCUAGACAAUAAUUUUGUUUGUUGAAUAGAAUUUGUCAAAGUGA